UACGAAGGGGGCUAGCGUUGUUCGGAAUUACUGGGCGUAAAGCGCGCGCAGGCGGGUCAUCAAGCCAGAGGUGAAAGCCCGGAGCUUAACUCCGGAAUAGCCUUUGAAACUGUUGGUCUUGAGUACGGGAGAGGUGAGUGGAAUUCCCAGUGUAGAGGUGAAAUUCGUAGAUAUUGGGAAGAACACCAGUGGCGAAGGCGGCUCACUGGCCCGUUACUGACGCUCAGGCGCGAUAGCGUGGGGAUCAAACAGG
rnacentral:rRNA from 1 species